CUUAAAGCAACCAGGAGUUUUAAUAAUAGGCUAUACUAAAUUUACCCAGCUCUUCAUAAUAAAGAUGCCUAUCAUCUCACGCUUUUAAAUCUGAAAUGCAUUCUUCUCUUUGAUACUGCCAGUUGCUUCACCACCGCUUGUUUAGUUUGUUCCCUCCACGGUCUCUGCAGUUGUUGACAACACUGGGCACUGCACAUCUGUACUGUGCCCUAUCUGCCUCUGGCACUGGGGAGAAAGUUUUAAUCCCUGUUUCCUGCUGUAAAUUCUCCUCCUAAAGAGGCGGAUCAGUAACAAAGGAGCUGCAGUGCUCAUAAAACUGCCCGAAUAUUAAAAUGGUUUAAUCUUCUACUAGGGAAAGCCGGAGAGUCUCACUGCGUGGCCUUACUUUCUACUGCACUUUGAUCCUUCGUGUAAGUUACUAAAAUUCAGCAUUUCAGAUCUGCCACAUUUGAACACACGAAAAAUCCAUUAGCUCCUUCAAAAUGGUGCAGAGAAAGGAUAGAACAUUUCAUUAUAUUUUUAUUUGAUUAUAUAUUUCUCCUUUGUCUUUUAGAAUCCAGGUAACAAUCAACAAUGUCAAGGUAAUGAAACAUUUUUCCUUCUCAGGCCCCAGAGCAAGCAUCUACACGAAUGUUAGCACUGAGUAGGCAGUUCUGGACACAAACUGCCUGCUCUGUGCACAGGUUUCCAGUAAACAGAAGUUACAGUUUAACACUCUGGCUAAGGGACUGUGAAGGAGCAAGCUUCCCCGGUACAAGACUAUGGCCUUCUAAUACUCAAUUGUACCGUCUCCAUCUACUGGCCAGAAGAAACUUUAGCUGGAGCACAGAACUGGUGAAAUAGAACAACUGCAUCCACAUACUUCUUCACGCUAUGGCCAAAACCUAGCCAUUCGGGGGUUUGGUGGGUUUAAGGUUGGUUUGAGACUUUCUUCCAGGAAUACUAACUCCUAAACAGAAAAACACUCUACAGUAAAAAUAUCUCUUGGCAUUUUAUUCUCAGAUAUUUAAAAAAGGUGGUGUUGCACGAUUUUACUUCAAGUAAUUCAGGCAAGGUUAACUUCCCUGAGUCAAGAUCUUGUGUUACAGUCGUAUUUUUCACUAGUCUGCAUCCAAAACAUGACUUUUACUCCAAGCUGGUUUUGGUUGGAAGAGUAGCAUUAGUUUUUAAGGUAGGAUACAAACUGAAUAUAAAACCUUUUAAUUCAUUUAUAACAAAUCCUAUCACAGCAAGAUAGGAUUUGAUAUAAUCCUAUCUUGUUAAUACCAUUAACUAGCACAUAGUACAUGAAAAAACAUACUUCAGAUAUAUUUAAAAGAUAACUGUUGCUACUUAGGAAAAAAGCAGUCACACAUUUAAUGCAGAAAUAGUAAGUUGAAGAAAUCCCCUUUCUUUUCUUCUUUCCUCCUUCCCCCCCUCAAAAGAUAGCAGCCCUCUGCAAAAGACAGCAAGCAGUGGCAGUGGCAUUGGCAAAAUGAGGGACAAGAAAUCUGAGCAAAACUGACUGAAGUUGAACUUGCAGUUCCAUUCAGUCAUCUCUAACUCUGGAAUGCUUCCCUGUUUACCCCGAGAACAUCUGUGAACAUGCAUGCUUCCCACUUUACUGGAAGAAAAUUCCAGAAUUAUUCCAGCAACCAUCUGGUGCCUCAGGAGAGGUUUGAGCCCUCCUCUGCUAGCAGCAACACCGCAUCCUCCAGAAAAUCCCCAAACCCCUACAGGCAUUCACUGCUUAUGGUUAAAUUUUCACUAUCCAUGGAUAAAUAAGUGAAACUUGGCUAUAAGUACUUGUGUCCAUCUAGUGUUAUAUUAGCUCAAGUUAUUCUUAAACCAAGAGUGCUACCAAUACUAAACUCAACAGACAUUUAGAUUUCAUGGUUUAGCAGCUGCAGAAAUUCCCUGCACCUAAAGUGAGGUCAUGGGCAGCCUCCGGAGUGGGAAAGCAAAGUUAUAAAAAUGAAGCGACUUGGACAUGCUAGCUCCUACCUUCCUUUCUUGAAAACAUAUAGGGGAAAUCACAUCACUGGUGCAAACCAGAAUGAUAGGAAAGGAUCUCACAGAUUGUAGAAACAGUUUCCCUGGAGCAGAAAUGGCCAUUCCUUGUCUCCAAACCAGGGAGGUGAAUUUCACCUAACUCCAGCCUUGCAAAAGCACUCGGAGAUCAUCAUCCCAGGUUUCCACUCCCAGGCUGAUUUUCUUGACAGACUCAGAAUAGCUGAGAGGCUAUUUGGUUUCUCCUCUACCAGAUAAUUAGAAAGAUCAGAGUGAAUUCUACAAGCAAGAUCUGUGAACUCAUAAAGACCAAACAUUUGAGCCUCAUGGGCUAUGAAGGAACAAGACACUGCCUUUGAAAAGCAAAUACUCUGAUACAGAAAAGUGUUCUAAAACUCAAGAGACAAACCCAGCCUUCUACUGGAAAACAAACCAUACUGUUCCUGAGCUUAGCAUUUUGUAUUCAAAGACAAACCACGCACCUUUCUCAUGUCCUCUAGUCCUCACAUCUCUCUUGCCUCAAAAAAGAUGCUGUAGAAACCUUGUCCUGAAUUAAGAGAGAACUAGACUUAUGGCUUCUAGGGCUACAGCAGUGGGUAGUGUCUUCUGAAUGAGGCUCUUGUGACAGAGGAAGUUAAUCCAGUAGUGGCACAGAGGCAACUUGUUAUUGUACCUGUUAAUAGCAUGGUAAUAGUAUGUUAGCCUCAGUCCAACAUAAACCAGACAGAAAUCUAACUAACUUGAUGACAAAAGGAGGUGUCUAUGGAGGUAGCUCACACCCUCCAGAAACGGGAGCAAACACAUCUCUAAAUAGUGGUUAAAUAGCAAGUAAUUUACAGUCAGCAUGAGACACCUCAAGAAUUGGUGAAAUCGCCUGGAGUGCUGAUAUAAGGAGGCAGCAGCGGGGCCCAACAACUUUUACAGAACGGAUUUUUGUUUUAAUUGGUUGAUUCCAGAAGGAAAAGAAUAGAUUCCAGGAAAUCCCAGUGUUUCUGAGUAGUUACAUUACAGAACAACUACCGAGGCUGUUCAGUGAGCCAUUGCGCUGCCAGUAACAAACACCAUCCCAAGAACCAUCUGAGAUACCAGCAAUUUCUAUCAGCAUCAACUCAUACAGUAGUUCUUUGGUCUCAAACACUUCCUUAUGACAAAACGUAUCAUCAUCACCCAUUUCCCUUCACUGAACAGGGCUGCAGACAAUUAUUUAUGUACAAACUUCAGUAGAUACCCAGUAUCGGGUGAGAUGAAUCCCAUUACUUUUAUCCAGUAUUGAGCCCAUACCUCUGGAGUCUCAGCAGAGGUUAAGCUGUCCCAAGAGAUGUUCUGUCUUGAAGCAAUACAAACAUUUUCAUGAUACUCAAAAAAGGGAAAGGACCCUUACUAGACAGAAACUUAGAUCCUGUUUACAGCUUCUCAAAAGACAACAAAUACAUUUCUUAGAAUUUAAGAGACUAUCAAGCCCCAUACAAGUGAGUAGAAUUGACAAAGUUAGCAAAGUAAGAGCGGACUGAAUGAUUAAAUAGCAAAGGCCAAGGCUGCUCCCCAAAGAUGCACAGUAAAAUACAAGUAUAACAAAAUGUGGCGUGGCAUUCUUUUUAAUAACACCCUCACCGUAUUUGGAAGACUCAGUGCACGUGUUCACCCCUAUGGACUCCACAAAGGCAAAACUAAAGCUCUGGUUCAAGAGCCCAGGGCAGCUGCAAUACCCAGCACUCAUAUGCAUACAAAGAGUCAUUAGGAAAUUCACCUUCCUUCUUUAUUUCAUCAAAACUGCCAACUCUGCAACACAUCUUACUCUCAUGCAUGUACUCCACACAUGAGACCAAAGAUUCUAGAUGUGUGGAGAACAACAGACAUUUGGCAUAACAACAACUGUUCUAUGCUGUGGAAUACCAGCCCUUGCACUCAGCAUUACUUUGAAGUCUCCGCAGAGAAAAAGCGGUGACAGAAUGCCACAGCUGUACAUAAACCCAGUGUCAAAACCAUGAAGUCUGCAAGUCACUUCCUUGCACAGAUUCUCCGGGAGAUCAUGUAGACAAAGCCAGGCAAAGGAAACUAGAUGUUUAUCUGCAUUUUUUAGUAUCUCUCAUGAACAACCUAGGAUUGCAAACAAAACACAAGUAGUUUCACCUUCAGAAUGAUACAAACAGGUGAGAGUCUAAAUGGGAACUCACCUAAGCUUCAGGAGAUGAGCUGCUUUGGAAAGCAAUGCUUGUGAAUGCUAGUUACUACUGUACACUUAAAUAAGCAAAUAUAACUACAGUAUUGGAACACUGUAUCCAAAGGGUGGGGAGUUUUCUAAGUGUGUUUCUUGUUAAAAAUUACAGCUUCAAACACUUUCGUGUGGAUGACUGGGUGGAUUUGGUACCUCUUUGUUCACCCAAAGCAGAGCACUGCUAUUGUUUAUGGUGCUCUUUACACUAGAUUAGGUACAUCUAUUACCUAACACCAUGGUGGAGCAUUUUGAUAAAGCAUAAUUGGAGCUAUACUCAAGAAAAGUGGUCAAAAUAAAAUCACAGAAUGGUUUGAGUUGGAGGGCACCUUAAAGCUCA
ensembl:lncRNA